CUAAAACACUAUCAAGGAUAGUGUUCGGGUUUAAAGUUGACUAAAAUCGGUGAAACCCGACCAGACAUAUGUCUGAGGGCAAUACCGAGGGAACCAAGUCCUAACAAAGUUAGAACUUGGACCUGUAGAGACUGAACGUCGACUACCCCCCACCACUUUUCUAAAAAAAGUGGUGGGGGGGAAAGUUACAGUCCAUCCCAUAUGGAAACAUGUGA
rnacentral:ncRNA from 1 species